CGGGACGUGUCUGUAAGCGGGGGAUAACCUUUCGAAAGAAAGGCUAAUACCGCAUAAUACUUGAGAGUUAAAGCUGGGGACCGGAAACGGCCUGGCACUUACAGGGCGACCGAUGUCUGAUUAGCUAGUUGGUGGGGUAAAAGCCCACCAAGGCGACGAUCAGUAGCUGGUCUGAGAGGACGACCAGCCACACUGGGACUGAGAAACGGCCCAGACUCCUACGGGAGGCAGCAGUGGGGAAUUUUGGACAAUGGGGGCAACCCUGAUCCAGCAAUGCCGCGUGUCUGAAGAAGGCCUUCGGGUUGUAAAGGACUUUAGUUGGGGAGCAAGGUUGGUAGGUUAAGAGCUAAUCAACUUGAGAGUACCCAAAGAAUAAGGACCGGCUAACUACGUGCCAGCAGCCGCGGUAAUACGUAGGGUCCAAGCGUUAAUCGGAAUGACUGGGCGUAAAGCGUGCGCAGGCUGUUGUAUAAGCUUGAUGUGAAAUCCCCGGGCUUAACCUGGGAACUGCAUUGAGGACUGUACGGCUAGAGUGCGGCAGAGGGGGGUAGAAUUCCACGU
rnacentral:rRNA from 1 species